AUGAACGCUGGCGGCGUGCUUAACACAUGCAAGUCGAACGAAGCACUUUAUUUGAUUUCCUUCGGGAUUGAUUAUUUUGUGACUGAGUGGCGGACGGGUGAGUAACGCGUGGGUAACCUGCCUUGUACAGGGGGAUAACAGUUGGAAACGGCUGCUAAUACCGCAUAAGCGCACAGCAUCGCAUGAUGCAGUGUGAAAAACUCCGGUGGUAUAAGAUGGACCCGCGUUGGAUUAGCUAGUUGGUGAGGUAACGGCCCACCAAGGCGACGAUCCAUAGCCGACCUGAGAGGGUGACCGGCCACAUUGGGACUGAGACACGGCCCAAACUCCUACGGGAGGCAGCAGUGGGGAAUAUUGCACAAUGGGCGAAAGCCUGAUGCAGCGACGCCGCGUGAGCGAAGAAGUAUUUCGGUAUGUAAAGCUCUAUCAGCAGGGAAGAUAAUGACGGUACCUGACUAAGAAGCACCGGCUAAAUACGUGCCAGCAGCCGCGGUAAUACGUAUGGUGCAAGCGUUAUCCGGAUUUACUGGGUGUAAAGGGAGCGCAGGCGGUGCGGCAAGUCUGAUGUGAAAGCCCGGGGCUCAACCCCGGUACUGCAUUGGAAACUGUCGUACUAGAGUGUCGGAGGGGUAAGCGGAAUUCCUAGUGUAGCGGUGAAAUGCGUAGAUAUUAGGAGGAACACCAGUGGCGAAGGCGGCUUACUGGACGAUAACUGACGCUGAGGCUCGAAAGCGUGGGGAGCAAACAGGAUUAGAUACCCUGGUAGUCCACACAGUAAACGAUGAAUACUCGCUGUUUGCGAUAUACAGUAAGCGGCCAAGCGAAAGCGUUAAGUAUUCCACCUGGGGAGUACGCCGGCAACGGUGAAACUCAAAGGAAUUGACGGGGACCCGCACAAGCGGUGGAGCGUGUGGUUUAAUUCGAAGCAACGCGAAGAACCUUACCAAGUCUUGACAUCCUUCUGACCGGUACUUAACCGUACCUUCUCUUCGGAGCAGGAGUGACAGGUGGUGCAUGGUUGUCGUCAGCUCGUGUCGUGAGAUGUUGGGUUAAGUCCCGCAACGAGCGCAACCCUUAUCUUUAGUAGCCAGCGGUUUGGCCGGGCACUCUAGAGAGACUGCCAGGGAUAACCUGGAGGAAGGCGGGGAUGACGUCAAAUCAUCAUGCCCCUUAUGACUUGGGCUACACACGUGCUACAAUGGCGUAAACAAAGGGAAGCAAAGCUGUGAAGCCGAGCAAAUCUCAAAAAUAACGUCUCAGUUCGGACUGUAGUCUGCAACCCGACUACACGAAGCUGGAAUCGCUAGUAAUCGCAGAUCAGAAUGCUGCGGUGAAUACGUUCCCGGGUCUUGUACACACCGCCCGUCACACCAUGGGAGUUGGGAAUGCCCGAAGCCAGUGACCUAACCGAAAGGAAGGAGCUGUCGAAGGCAGGCUCGAUAACUGGGGUG
rnacentral:rRNA from 1 species